rnacentral:rRNA from 1 species
UCAGAACGAACGCUGGCGGCGUGCCUAACACAUGCAAGUCGAACGGAGUAAAGACAGGGACUGGGCAUCAGGGAACGGGGACUAGUAGAAACCGGAUCCCGGGUUCCUGGUUCCGAGUCCCUGUCUUUACUUAGUGGCGGACGGGUGAGUAACACGUAGGUAACCAAUCCUGAAGCGGGGGACAACCCAGGGAAACUUGGGCUAAUACCGCAUAAGACCACGAUCUGGAAGGAUUGUGGUAAAAGCAGCGAUGCACUUCAGGCUGGGCCUGCGGCCUAUCAGGUAGUUGGCGGGGUAAAGGCCCACCAAGCCUAAGACGGGUAGCCGGACUGAGAGGUUGAACGGCCACACUGGAACUGAGACACGGUCCAGACUCCUACGGGAGGCAGCAGUGGGGAAUUUUGCGCAAUGGGCGAAAGCCUGACGCAGCGACGCCGCGUGGAGGAUGAAGGUCUUCGGAUUGUAAACUCCUUUUGU